GGUCACUUGAUCCCUGCGGCACCGUUCCCACAAAAGUACAAAGGACCCAGCAGGAGACAGACAGCCCUUGUUCAGGUGAAAUAUAGAUCUUGGGAAAGUGAUUGGGAAAAUAUUCAGAAGGAAUUCCGGUGACACAAAGAAACACUUUGUUGUGCAGAUAGAGGAAAAGUGGGGUCCAGAGGAACACCGGAGGAUCUGUGCUGCAGAUGCUACAGAGGAAGCCUGCGAGUGGAGAAGGAGGUGGGAUCUUGUCCUGAGCUGAAGGAGUACGCAGGGCAAGAGGGGGCAGGUGGAGAGAAAACACCAGGAUGGAGAGACGAGGCCGAGAGGAAGAGGAAGAGGAAGAGGAAAAAGAGGAGGAGGCACGAUGUUGUUUCCCAAAAAGCUCAGAUCUUUACUGACACAGAGUUUGACCAGCUGUUGAAUCUAAGUGUCAGUCUGUCUCGCCCAGCAUGGAUGACCGGACCUGCAGCUGUCAGAAUUUACCAAAAAUAAUAAAGACUCCUUGAGACCCCAGAAGAAAAAGAAGAAGACGAAGAAGAAGGGGAAGAGAGGAGCAGUUGAAAGGUACGGUGAAUUCCAGGGUACUGAAACUUAUGGCCCUCCUUGUCUGAUUUACAACAACAAUUUUUUUUUUUUCUUUUGGCUGAGAGGUGCGAGCGGCUUGCCAGCACCGUCGCGCCUUCUUGGACCUGAAAAGAAACAAAGCCCGUGGAGAUCUCCGAGACCACGGGGACCUCCCGGCCCCGCCCACAGAGACACCUUGACACGCACCUGUCAAAGACGUCAAUAUGGCUUGUGUGCCCGUGCACAGGGGAGACGCAGAGGUGGAGACAGAGAGCGCGGGUGAGUGGAGUGCUGCUCUGUGGGUGGCAGAGGAGAGGGAUCACUGGAUCUGACAGGAGCUAUUUGACUAAUCCAAAACAACAGCUGUAAGGUAGGGAUGAGGGAUGAGGGGGGGGUAGGGGGGUGGUGCACAGGAGGUGAAGCAGGGGUGGAGAGCUGUCAGUUAAGGAGGAGGAUUUUGUGAGAAAGGGGAAUUAUGGAAAGGGAAUAUGAAAAUGAAUUCGGCAUGUAAGCCCUGAGGGGGAAACGAUCCCAAAACGCUGCAAGUAGAAAAACAAAUUGUUGGACAGGACAAAAAAAAAAAAA